GGCGGCGUCAGCUGAUUACAACAACAAACAGCCGGUUAGAGCACAAGACCUCUUCCUCCUCAAUCUCUCAAAUUUAACUCUGGGCAGAAUGACAGGAGUAUUAGAAAGAAAGAACUACUUGUGGGUAAAAGACCAACAGAUUUUUUGUGUGUUGGGCCUCUUUUGAGGAAAAACCGAAUGACAUAGUGCUAAUCAUCCCAGGAAAUCCAGGUGUGACAGGCUAUUACACCAGCUUCAUGGA